ACAGGAAAAUGUAAAAGUAAGUCCAACACAAGAGUAAUUGAUAUAUACAUACCAAUUGAAGUAGAAGUUUAAUUCGAUUAUCAUUUCUAAAAAAUCCCCUUUGCACAAAAAGUUUCAAACAUGACAAAGAUGGUAGGGAAAAAACUUAGAUGCAUCUAGGAUGGAUCUAAUGUAAGAAAGGUAAGAGAGCAUGGGGGUGGCAGCGGCAUGCAAAAACCAAUGGGUGAACACUCAUGUCAGUGAUUUGAGACUUUACUAGUUUUAGGUUUUGGCCCACUAAAACUGGAACUUCCCUUUUCAACUGUGAAGAACUUCAUCGUCUUUUUCAACAUGCGCGCUUGCCUUCGCCCAAAAGAUGAUUCAGAACAAGACGGAAGGCUUAAUCAUAUCGUCAGUGAAACUUGGAAAAGUCCAUAUGAACAGCCCACAAAAGAGAGGUUUGAAGGUUGACCGCAGAGAAACCAAACAAAUAGUUUGAAAACCUGAUAGCGUAUACACAUUGACUCUAUUUCUUUUGUCAGAACAACAACAACUACAAAGAAAAAAAAAGGUUCUUUUCUUACUCUCUAUGCCUUUCUUUGAUGUCUCAUUAUUGAAGUAAUGUCUUAGGAAAGAAGAAGCUCUCAUUAAUGAAAACUGAAACACAUACAAAACUGGAAAAAAUAAAAAGAAAGUCUUGAAUUGUCAUUAAGUUUUGGGUGCUGGGUCUAUACACAUUACACACACUUUUAUUUUGCAUUUAUUUAAGAGUAAAUAAACAUUAUGUUUUAUUAAUUAAUUGAUGCUAGUACAAAAAUUAGGAGGUGGGAGCUAGAGUUGGUAUCUUGGAUGGAGAACUUUAAUGUGCAUUUUUUGUAAGUUGUCAAAGUGUGUAGUUACAGACCAGCUUGCAUUUCUUUUUUCAUAUCCCAUCUGAGGCUUUGAAAUUUACAAUACAACAUUUUCAAAUUUAUGAUCGGUACAUGUGAAUGGAAGUGGAAAAAAAUCAAUGAAGUGGAAGGAAAGGUUUCUAUCCAAUAUGGGUCGUUUUUGUCAUUUGUGUUGGGAAUUAUCCUGAAUUAUAAUAACCAUAUCUUACCACUGUAAAUAUUAUUUAAAAGUAUCUAAUUAACUGAUGCAAACAUUAUUUCAAAA